rnacentral:sRNA from 1 species
ACAUUAUUUUGUUUCGCAGAAGAUAACUUUCCUUGUUGGACAUUCAAAGAUGUUUCCACGUUUAAACAGUGUUUGAGGUAUGAGCAGAUGAAAGCGUACCACUCCAUUUGGCUUGGAAUCCCUCAGAGCUAACAUCACACUGCGCCACAAACUUGACGAACAUCCGACUGGUGGUAGAGAUAGUAGUGUCCGGUAUUGUUCUUCCGGUUACAACUCUCAACAGGGGCGAAUUUUCGUCGGCGCCAUUGUGAAUCUGGAAAAGAAACGCCCUCAAAUAAAAAAUAGUGUCAAGUCCAAAAUAUCAUAUCGUUCAUAAAGUCCAGAACGACGUUACUUCCGGACACACUGUCUAUGACAUAAGAGCAGGACCGUUUGAUUGGAUAAUACCCGGGCCAAAAUGGCGAUCUGAUUUUUCCGGUCGGAGAGGUAACUCGACUGCCGCAAGCUAUUCAAAACAUAUAAAUUUACGGUAUAUGAUACAAAAUCAAAAAAAACCAUGCAGAAUAUAGCACAAAGAUAUAACUGUAUUUAUAUGCGAGGUCAUAAAACUGAAAUUUAAAAG